rnacentral:rRNA from 1 species
CCUACGGGUGGCAGCAGUAGGGAAUAUUGCUCAAUGGAGGAAACCCUGAAGCAGCAACGCCGCGUGGAGGAUGAAGGUUUUAGGAUUGUAAACUCCUUUUGUUAGGGGAGAUAAUGCCGAUAUCCCACUAAUAAGCACCGGCUAACUCCGUGCCAGCAGCCGCGGUACUACGGAGGCUGCAAGCGUUACUCGGAAUCACUGGGCGUAAAGAGUGCGCAGGCGGGCUUGUAAGUCAGAGGUGAAAUCCUGUAGCUUAACUACAGAACUGCAUUUGAAACUAUGAGUCUAGAGUGUGGGAGCGGUAGGUGGAAUUCUUGGUGUAGGGGUAAAAUCCGUAGAUAUCAAGAGGAAUACUCAUUGCGAAGGCGACCUACUGGAACAUUACUGACGCUCAUGCACGAAAGCGUGGGGAGCAAACAGGAUUAGAUACCCGAGUAGUC